rnacentral:rRNA from 1 species
CAUUUUCUCUUGCAUAAGAGAAAAUUGAAAGAUGGUUUCGGCUAUCACUUACAGAUGGGCCCGCGGUGCAUUAGCUAGUUGGUGAGGUAACGGCUCACCAAGGCAACGAUGCAUAGCCGACCUGAGAGGGUGAUCGGCCACACUGGGACUGAGACACGGCCCAGACUCCUACGGGAGGCAGCAGUAGGGAAUCUUCCGCAAUGGACGAAAGUCUGACGGAGCAACGCCGCGUGAGUGAUGAAGGCUUUCGGGUCGUAAAACUCUGUUGUUAGGGAAGAACAAGUACAAUAGUAACUGCUUGUACCUUGACGGUACCUAACCAAAAAGCCACGGCUAAAUACGUGCCAACAGCCGCGGUAAUACGUAGGUGGCAAGCGUUAUCCGGAAUUAUUGGGCGUAAAGC